rnacentral:rRNA from 1 species
UACGGAGGGUGCAAGCGUUAUCCGGAUUCACUGGGGUUAAAGGGUGCGUAGGCGGAUUAGAAAGUCCGUUGUGAAAUCUCUGAGCUUAACUCGGAAAUUGCGGUGGAUACUAUUAGUCUUGAAUACUGUGGAGGUUAGCGGAAUAUGUCAUGUAGCGGUGAAAUGCAUAGAUAUGACAUAGAACACCAAUUGCGAAGGCAGCUGGCUACACAGAUAUUGACGCUGAGGCACGAAAGCGUGGGGAUCAAACAGG